GGUUAAGUGACUAAGCGUACACGGUGGAUGCCUUGGCAGUCAGAGGCGAUGAAAGACGUAGUAACUUGCGAUAAGCCCAGAUUAGGUAGUAACAACCAUUUGAGUCUGGGAUUUCUGAAUGGGGAAACCCACGUGCAUAAGCACGUAUCCUUACCUGAAUACAUAGGGUAAGGAGGCGAACCGGGGGAACUGAAACAUCUAAGUACCCCGAGGAAAAGAAAUCAACCGAGAUUCCGAAAGUAGCGGCGAGCGAAAUUGGACUAGCCCUUAAGCUUUACACGCGUUAGACGAACGGUCUGGAAAGUCCGACGAUACAGGGUGAUAGUCCCGUAGUUGACGACGUGUGUUCAGUGAAAUCGAGUAGGGCGGGACACGUGAUAUCCUGUCUGAAUAUGGGGGGACCAUCCUCCAAGGCUAAAUACUACUGACUGACCGAUAGUGAACCAGUACCGUGAGGGAAAGGCGAAAAGAACCCCUGUGAGGGGAGUGAAAUAGAACCUGAAACCGUGUACGUACAAGCAGUAGGAGCAGGCUUUGUCCUGUGACUGCGUACCUUUUGUAUAAUGGGUCAGCGACUUAUAUUCAGUGGCAAGGUUAACCAUCUAGGGGAGCCGUAGGGAAACCGAGUCUUAACUGGGCGUUCAGUCUCUGGAUAUAGACCCGAAACCAGGUGAUCUAGCCAUGGGCAGGUUGAAGGUUGAGUAACAUCAACUGGAGGACCGAACCGACUAAUGUUGAAAAAUUAGCGGAUGACUUGUGGCUAGGGGUGAAAGGCCAAUCAAACCUGGAGAUAGCUGGUUCUCCCCGAAAGCUAUUUAGGUAGCGCCUCGGACGAAUACUACUGGGGGUAGAGCACUGUUAAGGCUAGGGGGUCAUCCCGACUUACCAACCCUUUGCAAACUCCGAAUACCAGUAAGUACUAUCCGGGAGACACACGGCGGGUGCUAACGUCCGUCGUGGAGAGGGAAACAACCCAGACCGCCAGCUAAGGUCCCAAAUUACUACUAAGUGGGAAACGAUGUGGGAAGGCUCAGACAGCCAGGAUGUUGGCUUAGAAGCAGCCAUCAUUUAAAGAAAGCGUAAUAGCUCACUGGUCGAGUCGGCCUGCGCGGAAGAUGUAACGGGGCUAAGUAGUAAACCGAAGCUGCGGCAAUGUGCUUUUGCACAUUGG
rnacentral:rRNA from 1 species